CGCCUUUUGAUUAUAAUAAGAGGUCCAGCCUGCCCAGUGAUAAAUUUAACGGCCGCGGUACCCUAACCGUGCAAAGGUAGCAUAAUCACUUGUUCUUUAAAUAAGGACUUGUAUCAACGGCAUCACGAGGGUUCUACUGUCUCCUCUCUCCAAUCGGUGAAACUGAUCUCCCUAUGAAAAAGUGGGGAUAAACUUAUAAGACGAGAAGACCCCAUGGAGCUUUAAAACCUAUAGCAACCUAGCAAACACUUCCAUUUAGCUAUAAAACUAUGCUUAAGGACUUUAGGUUGGGAGGACCACGGAGCACAAAAUAACCUCCGCAAUGAAAAGAAUACAAUCUUUACCAAAGAGCCACAACUCCAAGAAUUAGAAAACUAACGUACAAUGACCCGAUAUCGAUCAAUGAACUAAGUUACCCUGGGGAUAACAGCGCAAUCCAUUCUGAGAGUUCAUAUCGACGAACGGGCUUACGACCUCGAUGUUGGAUCAGGGUAUCCUGGUGGUGCAGCCGCUACCGAAGGUUCGUUUGUUCAACGAUUAAAACCCU
rnacentral:rRNA from 1 species